GUGUAUUGACAUGACAAAGUCCCUUUAGAACUUGAUAAUUAAAGAGGGCAAAAAAACUCAUUUAGAACAUAAAUAUGCCCUGAAAAGAGUGCAACAGAGUAGGAGUAAGCUUCCUCCUACAGAAGAGUUUAAUUUUCACAAAAACACCCUAAUUGAUCUGAUAAAUGUGUAUAAAGUUUCUGGGUACACCAGGCUAGGAUGGCUGGCUGCAUAGUAAGUGCAGCUGAAGUGUUUCAAGCUGACUCUUCCAUGCUGCCAAGGAAUCUCUUGGUUGGACCUUUUACUUAAACCCAGCUCCAAGGUUUCAGCUGGCAGCUGGGAUUUGGAGAGCACUGCACACUCCACCUGAAGCAGCACCGUGUUCAGCACCUCCAGCUGAACAAAACUGGGCCACAGGCAGUGACCUGGACAGUGCAAAACUGUGAAAUAAGAAAAUAUAAAACCUGCUCAAGUUGCUGGAGAGGGUCAGCUUGGUCCUAUUUUCUGUGUAUGUGCUCUCCAGUAAGCUACUGGAAAUUUCCCAUCCAAGCCUGCACAGAGAAAGCAGCUCAUUUUCAAAGAUAAGAAACUGAUGUGAAUGAACCCACUUUGUUCUCCAUGCCAUUUACUAAAUAUGAGAUACAAAAUGACUAUUCAAACUUUCUCAAAGGCAAAAAGUUUUCAAAUUAUACCAAAAGAGAUUUCCAGUCUUCUUCUCUUAAGGCUGUGCUAUUAUUGGAUGGCUUUUACCAGUCAGCUUUGUCAUAAUUGCAUUCAUGAUUUUUGUACAAAAGGGCAUGACCCUUCUCCCUGGAAUGGAUUGGGACACUUACAUACCGUGGAGACUCCAUCCAUGGUUAUGUAAGUACAGCAGGUAUCUCUGGGGAGAUUCAAGCAACAAAAUGGGAUUUAGAUAUCUUAGUAAAUUACUGGCCCAAAGGCUACCUCUGCAUCUGCUUCCCUCACAGAAGGUUACAGCCAUGGCCAAUGGUACUUUGCCAGACUAUUCAGACCAUUAGCUACCGACAGAGGAAGUAAACAGUGUCUGCUUACUCUUACACUUCUUUCAAAAAGGAUUAUGAGCUUUUAAGGUUUAGUAGUGUUUUAUCAUCUUUUCUGUGGUAGUUCAGUCAUAAAGACAGUACAAAUGGAUGCUGCACUACACUUAUUAGAUCCAAAGCUUAAACCAUUAUUCUUACAUUAAACAAUGACUUCUAUAAAAAUGUUCUUACCUGGC